GUGGGCGGGGAGUCUGUCUCGAGGCAGGCCAAUCGGACGCAGAGCAUUGUGCGACUCGUUGUCCCAGGGCGGCGGGCCUCCAGCCAAUCAGAGGACGCAACCCAGGGCGUUCUGGGCGGGGCAUGUGAGCCGCGUUCCUUCCUGGUACUGCAGAGAGCCUAAAACUUGAUGAGGACUGGUGUACUGCUCUGAGCACAGGGCUAGGAACCAGGAAUGUCUGAGUGUUAAUUCUGACUCGGUUGCCGGGGACAAGUCAAGUAUCCUCUUGGACUCAUGUGCCUCCUCUGUAAAAUGGAAUACAAAUCUGCUUUGUACUCCACUCCAGGCAAGAGCCAGUGGAACCAUCCCCUGGUGUAAAGCCAUUUCCUGGGAAGAUAUUCCAAAAUCUUUGGCCUCACCAGCCUCUCAAAGGUCCCAGUUUCCAGGAACAACCAGUUCAGAUGGCUGCUAUUAAUUAAACUGGGAAGAGCAUCUUCAGUCUAAGGGACCAUCCACCAGCUAAGUAAAGAGACUUAAAUUUGCAAAGUAUAUUUCAAGUAAUAAAACAGGGAUUUAUUUCACAUUGUUGCCAGUUAGUUCUGCACAAUGAGGUGUUUAAUUAGAACAGGGGUAGGCAACCUUUCAGAAGUGGUGUGCCGAGUCUUCAUUUAUUCACUCUGAUUUAAGGUUUUGCGUGCCAGUCAUACAUUUUAACGUUUUUAGAAGGUCUCUUUCUAUAAG